rnacentral:rRNA from 1 species
AACGGUAGCUAAUACCGCAUAACGUCGCAAGACCAAAGAGGGGGACCUUCGGGCCUCUUGCCAUCGGAUGUGCCCAGAUGGGAUUAGCUAGUAGGUGGGGUAACGGCUCACCUAGGCGACGAUCCCUAGCUGGUCUGAGAGGAUGACCAGCCACACUGGAACUGAGACACGGUCCAGACUCCUACGGGAGGCAGCAGUGGGGAAUAUUGCACAAUGGGCGCAAGCCUGAUGCAGCCAUGCCGCGUGUGUGAAGAAGGCCUUCGGGUUGUAAAGCACUUUCAGUCAGGAGGAAAGGUUAGUAGUUAAUACCUGCUAGCUGUGACGUUACUGACAGAAGAAGCACCGGCUAACUCCGUGCCAGCAGCCGCGGUAAUACGGAGGGUGCGAGCGUUAAUCGGAAUUACUGGGCGUAAAGCGUACGCAGGCGGUUUGUUAAGCGAGAUGUGAAAGCCCCGGGCUUAACCUGGGAACUGCAUUUCGAACUGGCAGACUAGAGUGUGAUAGAGGGUGGUAGAAUUUCAGGUGUAGCGGUGAAAUGCGUAGAGAUCUGAAGGAAUACCGAUGGCGAAGGCAGCCACCUGGGUCAACACUGACGCUCAUGUACGAAAGCGUGGGGAGCAAACAGGAUUAGAUACCCUGGUAGUCCACGCCGUAAACGAUGUCUACUAGAAGCUGGGGUCCUCGGACAACUUUUCAAAGCUAACGCAUUAAGUAGACCGC